rnacentral:rRNA from 1 species
UACGUAGGCAGCGAGCGUUGUUCGGAGUUACGUGGGCGUAAAGGGUGUGUAGGCGGUUGUUUAAGUUUGGUGUGAAAUCUCCCGGCUCAACUGGGAGGGUGCGCCGAAUACUUAAUGACUUGGAGUGCGGGAGAGGUGAGUGGAAUUCCUGGUGUAGCGGUGAAAUGCGUAGAGAUCGGCAGGAACACCAGUGGCGAAGGCGGCCACCUAGCCCGCACCUGACGCUGAGGCGCGACAGCGUGGGGAGCGAACUGG